rnacentral:ncRNA from 2 species
CGACACCCCACUGGAGAGAGGCCGCAAACUUUGCAGCCCACCGAAGGAGCAACCCGCAGUCUGCGCACCCCUCGUGCAUGCAGGCCCGGCGAAUCUCUCAGGUAAAGCGGACAGCGGGGGCAGC